rnacentral:rRNA from 1 species
GACGAACGCUGGCGGCGUGCUUAACACAUGCAAGUCGAACGGAAAGGCCCGGCUUUUGUGGGGUGCUCUAGUUGCGAACGGGUAAGUAACACGUGAGUAACCUGUCCUUGACUUUGGGAUAACUUCAUGAAACUGGGGCUAAUACCGGCUAGGAGCUCCUGCUGCAUGGUGGGGGUUGGAAAGUUUCGGCGGUUGGGGAUGGACUCGCGGCUCAUCAGCUUGUUGGUUGGGUAGUGGCUUACCAAGGCUUUGACGGGUAGCCGGGCUGAGAGGGUGACCGGCCCAAUUAGGAUGGAGAUACGGCCCAGACUCCUACGGGAGGCAGCAGUGGGGAAUAGUGCAUAGUGGGCUGAAGCCUGAUGCAGCCACGCCGCGCGCGGGAUGACGGCCAUCGGGUUGUAAACCGCUUUCGCCUGUGACGAAGCGUGAGUGACGGUAAUGGGUAAAGAAGCACCGGCUAACUACGUG